rnacentral:rRNA from 1 species
GUCGUCAUGCGCGCAGCCUGACGGAGCACGCCGCGUGAGGGAUGAAGGCCUCUGGGCUGUAAACCUCUUUUAGCAAGGAAGAAGAUCUGACGGUACUUGAUGAAUAAGCCACGGCUAAUUCCGUGCCAGCAGCCGCGGUAAUAUCU